GCCCUGGACGUUUUACUGUAUCUGCGAAAUGAAGGAGAAUAUCUGCCUUGGGCUACAGGCGCCAGGAAAUUCGUUUACAUAGAGAGUAUGUUCAGACGCAGAAGUGGAUUCGGCGCUCUCAAGCGUUACCUCCUGGAUUUGGUGUUGCCGCUCUACGAGUCCGUUGGGUUCGACAACAACAUCGAGGACUCUUUCUUGGAGCAA